rnacentral:lncRNA from 1 species
AACUCUAUUCCGUAUUGGUUCAAUAUGUCGAGAAUUUGAUUCAUUGACAUGUCGGUUUGAAUCGGUUUGAACCGGUUUGAAGAUGUCUCGGGAAUUCAUUCCAAAAUCUACAAACAAGUCACUUCCAAAGUUGCCCUUCUGCACUUCAUAGAUCAAUAGUCUCAAUUACAUGACUAGCAGAAGGCACGGGGUGGAUAUGGGGAAGUCAAAGGGCAAGAAGAGGAGAGUGAUAUCCGAUUCUGGAAUGACAUACAUGAAUUCCAACAAACAUCUGGCUCGUGCAUAGACAAGACAAUUAUUAUGUUAAUGUUGGUUUUCAUCACGACCUGAGCGUCGGAAGAUACUUGUCAUGGUAGCCAUGGCAUGUCCAAUGCAUGAGUAUCGUUGAUGGCUUGUGAGUCGAGAUUACGAUAGGUCUACUUCAUUUUCCCCUUUUGUCUGCAGUCUGAACCACUCGUUGUCAUGAUCAUCACCUCCUCAUGGAUACUCAGAUACUGGCUUGACAUGGCAUUGCAUAGUGUGAAACAAUAACCUAAAUUAGGGACACGCAUCUUCAAAAGUUGUACUACAUGCCAGGGGCUGAAUAUGAGGCUCGGUCCUAACGAUGACUCGGUUCCCCGUUACCUAAAUAGACGCAAAGUUGAAGCGUCGAGCAGAUGGUGAACCGCUGUUUAACGAAACCGGUCCCUGCUGAGCUUACAUCAAUGGGAAACUGCUUGUGCACGUAUAUUCGCCGAACAUGAGAUGAGGCCUUUCAUCUUUCCCCGAUCUCCUCAGAAAAACGAAUAAGACGGACCCGUGUUUGCUUCAUGGUAGAAGUUAACCUUUCCUAUUGAGUGUAAUCAAGCCAUGCCCAUGACUCGAAGACGAAACUCUGCUUUGGCCAACCUCCUCGUUUUUUGCCUGGCUCGGGGCAUAACGUUGAAAGUGCAGAUAAGACGUGAAGAACCUUUUUCCAGAGACCGAUGAUUGGAUGUAGCUGACUUGAAAAAAAAAAAAAAAAAAAAAAAAAAAAAAAAGAGAGAGAGAGAGAGAGAGAGAGAGAGAGAGAGAGAUUCCAUAUGCGGGAUAGACUGAAUCCUUUCCCUCUUUAGUAUUGGCCGUCGAUCACUCUAGUCGAAUAGGACAUGAGUCAAGGACACAGUCUAGAUACGCCUUGUCAACUCCCUCGACGAAGUCUUCGGUAAAUAAUCUGAAAAGACGCUGUCAUGAAGUUCGUAUGGCAUGAUUUCACAAUAGAAGCACAUAUAUCCGCAAACACGGCCCUUGAUCAAGAACCGAUGCGUGUAACAUGCACCGCUUCAUGUCAAGAAGUCCUCAAAUAGAGCGAUGGUGCGCAUUGCUGAAGCUUUGGUUCCUCUGUGCACUCCGCGUGUUCCAGUGUGUGGAGAUAGAGGGAUCUUCAGUGGCUUGAUACUCGUGAUAUGAUUUUCUUUUCUUCUUCUUUUCACUAGCGGAAAUGUCCAUUCGAAGCUUCUUCCUCUCCAGGCACUCUUUUUCCUAUCUUCAUGAUUUGUCAAACCUAGAGUUUACACACAGGACCCGUAACUAAUCUUCUUUAGUCAGACGGCCUGUGGGACACUUGUUUGAGAAGACCACUUUUCUUUGACGGCUUCUUAGUCCGACUUGACAUAAAAUAAAAUAAAAAGUUAGCUGGUCUAGACAGGAUCGGCAAAAGUGCACUUCUUGCGUUUGCCUCUUCUCUCUAGGAUACUCGACUAUUCUAUCCUGAAGCGGAAAGCAAAAGCUUAAACGGCCAUGUGGCAAUCACGGGAUUGUGAUC